rnacentral:lncRNA from 1 species
CCCCUGGCUCAAGUCACGAGAUAUCACACAAACACAUAGUACAGCACAGAAGCAGAUGACAUAACAUAGAUACGACACCCAUAAGGAAUAUAAAACAGAGUAAAGCAGGAAGGCAUGAAUAUAAAGCAGAGGAAAGCACACAGAUUCGUAAUAAACAUGGAACACGGAACACAAAACACUGAAGGAAUACACCCCCACCAAUUUAUCCCUACACUAGCGACCCGAACUGGCCCUACUCCUCUGCCGUAAUUCGCAUCUUCCAGACCUUCCUAUCUAGGGUCAUGUCCUCGGUGAGCUGUAACUGUUCCAUGUCCCACCUAAUCACCUCACCCCAGUACUUCUUCGGUCUACCCCUUCCCCGUCUAAAACCAUCCAACGCUAGCCUCUCACACCUACGGACCGGGGCAUCCAUGCCCCUCCUCUUCACGUGUCCGAACCAUCUCAAUCGUGCUUCCCGCAUCUUACACUCCACUGAAGUCACACCAACCUUCUCCCGGAUAGUCUCAUUCCGAACUCUA